CAUUGUGAAUUACCACUGCUUAUAUUAAUUAUUUGUUCAGAGUUGGUAAAAUGGCUCAUCAACUUAAAGAUAGCUUAAAGCAUGGAUUUGUGUCCUAAAUAACAGGUUUCUCUAUGAACUUCCCCUAAAAAGGCUCAAACAUUGUCUCACACAGGUUCACUAUUAUGAAGAUGGCAAUGUUCAGUUGGUUAGUCAUAAAGAUGUACAGGAUUCACUAACUGUUUCGAAUGAAGCCCAGACUGCCAAGGAGUUUAUUAAAAUCAUAGAGAAUGCAGAAA
rnacentral:sRNA from 1 species